UCAAACACACUCACAUGUGAUGACAUUCAUGAGAAAUAUCUAGCUCGCCAUAUACUACAUUCUUCCAUUACACCGGAAGUUGUGUUCAAUAACACCAGUGAUUUUGAAUCAGCAAACCCUACUAACUACAAGAUUGCAUCAUUAUUGACUGAUGAUGAAACUUUGCCUCCAUCAAGUUCACAAUAUGAUAGCGUUCGUCAUAAAACCCUAGCCAAGAGGACUUACGAUAAAGAGCGCAAUUCUAAAUUAACAAUCGAGCAGAAGGAUCAGGAUAACGCAAGGAGACGAGCUGGUAAACAGAAGAAACGGGAAGAGGGCACAAUCAAUGUUCAAGAGCAAAAUCAGAGGCAAUGAGAGACACGCAUGGAGCGCCGGAAAAUUAUGACUUCCGAUGAGAAGGUGCAGUCAAGUGCAAAGAGAAAGGGAAAUUACCAUAGAAUGAAAAACACCCCAUCCAUAGAAUCUAUCGCAAUGCCACGGCCAGAUGUUCUGGCUCGAUCUGAUUCCGCCCCAUCAAUGACCAUCCCGUCUUACACUGUGGGAACCGAUGGUAAAAAUUUGUUAUUGUCACAAUCUUUAGAACAAAAUUUCGCUUUACCCUCUUUUGCUUACUAUCUCUACGAUGUUGCAGAAGAUAUGGGGGCAUUCAUAAGCACCAUCGUGGACGAUGAUACGAUAUCAUCCGCCUUCAUGGAUAAUGAGUAUUAUCUG
rnacentral:lncRNA from 1 species